rnacentral:rRNA from 1 species
GAUGAACGCUGGCGGCGUGCUUAACACAUGCAAGUCGAACGAAGCACUUUAUUUGAUUUCCUUCGGGACUGAUUAUUUUGUGACUGAGUGGCGGACGGGUGAGUAACGCGUGGGUAACCUGCCUUGUACAGGGGGAUAACAGUUGGAAACGGCUGCUAAUACCGCAUAAGCGCACAGCAUCGCAUGAUGCAGUGUGAAAAACUCCGGUGGUAUAAGAUGGACCCGCGUUGGAUUAGCUAGUUGGUGAGGUAACGGCCCACCAAGGCGACGAUCCAUAGCCGACCGGAUAGGGUGACCGGCCACAUUGGGACUGAGACACGGCCCAAACUCCUACGGGAGGCAGCAGUGGGGAAUAUUGCACAAUGGGCGAAAGCCUGAUGCAGCGACGCCGCGUGAGCGAAGAAGUAUUUCGGUAUGUAAAGCUCUAUCAGCAGGGAAGAUAAUGACGUUACCUGACUAAGAAGCACCGGCUAAAUACGUG